rnacentral:rRNA from 1 species
UACAGAGGGUGCGAGCGUUAAUCGGAAUUACUGGGCGUAAAGCGUGCGUAGACGGUCAAGUAAGUCGGGUGUGAAAGCCCCGGGCUCAACCUGGGAAUUGCAUUCGAGACUGCGUGGCUAGGGUGCGGAAGAGGGAAGCGGAAUUUCCGGUGUAGCGGUGAAAUGCGUAGAUAUCGGAAGGAACAUCAGUGGCGAAAGCGGCUUCCUGGUCCAGCACCGACGUUCAGGCACGAAAGCGUGGGGAGCAAACAGG